rnacentral:rRNA from 1 species
GACGGAGGGUGCGAGCGUUGUUCGGAAUUACUGGGCGUAAAGGGCGCGUAGGCGGCAAUUCAAGUCAGCUGUGAAAUCUCCGGGCUUAACUCGGAACGGUCAGCUGAUACUGCUCUGCUAGAGUGCAGAAGGGGCAAUCGGAAUUCUUGGUGUAGCGGUGAAAUGCGUAGAUAUCAAGAGGAACACCUGAGGUGAAGACGGGUUGCUGGGCUGACACUGACGCUGAGGCGCGAAGGCGUGGGGAGCGAACGGG